GAAGAAUCGAGAGAGACCGAGAGAAGAAGAAGAGGAGGAGGAGGAGGAAAAGAAUUUUCAAGCUAGGGUUCUCAAAUUCUUCAAUUUCUCAUUUGGUUUAGAAUGGUAAGUAUUUGAAUUAAAUUUUUAAGGGUUAUAGAAAACUUGCUCUAAUUCAAAGUCUAGCAAGAAUUAUGUGUUAUUGAUAUGUAUUUGAUGAUUAAAAUAAGUAUAUGUCAAAGAAAUAUAUAUUUGAAAAUUAGUGUUGAAGAAAGUGAAAACUUUGGAAAUGGGUUUGUGAUAUAAAGGCAUAUUAUUUGAAAUUCUUGGAAUUAUGUGAUGCUAAAACUUAAAUUAAGGAUUUGAGGUUGAAAUUCUCCAUUUUUUUUUUAGCAAUUUUCGAGUUUUUGCAAAACAGGUGCUAGUUUUGAAAGUCUGCCAAGAAGGUGUUAUUUCUGUCAAUGUUUUUGGUGACAGAUUUCAGUAUUCAUAAAUUGGUGCCGGUUUUCAAUAUUCUGGAAUUAUAGUGCUAAUUUUGUCAAUCAUCUAAUUUUGGUGGAUUUUUAGUAUUGGAACCAAAUUAAGUGUUAAAUAUUUGACGUUUUGGUGUUAAAAUAAUUUAUAUAAAGAAGUAUAUGUUGUUAAUGACUCUAAAUGGGAUUAUGAGAUUGAAAAUAAAAUAUGUGAAGUUUUCAUUGGUAAAUUAUUAUUUCUAAUGGUAGGAAAAUACUCAAGGAAUGCUUGUGAAGGGAUAUGAUUUAUUAUAGCGAGAGCAUGAUAUCAUACUCGGAAUUUGAAAGUGAUGAGGCGACGAGAAUAUCGAAACCAUGAUCGACUAUAACUUUGUGAGUGGAUAUAAACUU
rnacentral:lncRNA from 1 species